UUUUUUAAGUUGUUGUGUGAUGUUACUAAAGUUAGUGGUAGAUUUUAUAUUUGGGUUGCCUAAAUUUUCAGCCAUGUACUAUUUGGAAUCUCAACUUUCCUACUUAAACUUUUAGCCACUUGAAAAACCACCAUAAACAAUUUUAAUCUCGAUAAAACUAUAUGUACUUUCGGAUUUGUUCUUAAAACUACGCCUCCAAUUGAACCGACCAGUUAACCGUUAAUUAUACAUCUGGUUUGACUUAUCCAUAAUUUAACCGAAAUUAAUUCGAUUUAACUCUAUUUUAGCCUAAUUUUGACCUAAAUGUAAAUAAAUUGCCUUA
rnacentral:sRNA from 1 species